UGUGGGUUGGUCAAAAUCUAUCAGAUCUGUUCAAGUGGAGAUAUGCUUUUGUUUUUUUCGUCUGUCCAGCUUUCCUUCCUUACGGAAUCUCCCAGCCCCUAAUUCUAUAAUACUACUCGCUUAGUUUGGCUGUGGUGAAACCCACCUUGUCCUCUACUAAAGAUAUGGAACGAAGACCUCGUCAGUCAAUCUUCCAUGAUCCCGGCCACCGCAAUUGGCUCAGGUCGUUGCUGCCAUGAAGUAAGAGUCUGUCUGGAAAUGAAGGCGAGCAGAGGCCACAAAGCUGAGACAUGGAGACAGAGAGAGUCCUGAUGUUAUUAUUUGAACCAUUGAGUCCAGCUGUGCCUGAAACUCUUCAGUGAGCCAAGAAAUUCCUUUUUGGCUUAAGCCAAUUGGAGUCGUGUUUGUGAUACUUGCAAAUGAAAGGAGUUAUUGACUAAUAAAACUGCCAUUUCUAUCUCUCCAAGAA